GAUGAACGCUGACAGAAUGCUUAACACAUGCAAGUCGAUGGGGAAGUGGUGCUUGCACCAUGGUAACCAUGGCGGACGGGUGAGUAACGCGUAAGGAACUUACCUGCGGGACCGGGAUAACAGCAGGAAACUGCUGACAAGACCGGAUAAGGUCAUUAAGCUGCAUAGCUUAGUGAUGAAAGGAGACGCCUGCGGAGAGCCUUGCGUCCUAUUAGCUAGUUGGAGGGGUAACGGCCCGCCAAGGCGAAGAUAGGUAGCCGGCCUGAGAGGGUGGACGGCCACAAGGGGACUGAGAUACGGCCCUUACUCCUACGGGAGGCAGCAGUGGGGAAUAUUGGACAAUGGGGGCAACCCUGAUCCAGCAAUUCUGUGUGCACGAAGACGGUUUUCGGAUUGUAAAGUGCUUUCAGCAGGGAAGAAGGAAGUGACGGUACCUGCAGAAGAAGCGACGGCUAAAUACGUG
rnacentral:rRNA from 1 species